GGGUUGUGAGGUUAAGCGACUAAGCGUACACGGUGGAUGCCCUGGCAGUCAGAGGCGAUGAAGGACGUGCUAAUCUGCGAAAAGCGUCGGUAAGGUGAUAUGAACCGUUACAGCCGGCGAUGUCCGAAUGGGGAAACCCAGUGCAAUUCGUUGCACUAUCGUUAACUGAAUACAUAGGUUAACGAGGCGAACCGGGGGAACUGAAACAUCUAAGUACCCCGAGGAAAAGAAAUCAACCGAGAUUCCCCCAGUAGCGGCGAGCGAACGGGGAGCAGCCCAGAGUCUGAAUCAGCUUGUGUGUUAGUGGAACGGUCUGGAAAGUCCGACGGUACAGGGUGAUAGUCCCGUACACCAAAAUGCACAGGCUGUGAACUCGAAGAGUAGGGCGGGACACGUGGUAUCCUGUCUGAAUAUGGGGGGACCAUCCUCCAAGGCUAAAUACUCCUGACUGACCGAUAGUGAACCAGUACCGUGAGGGAAAGGCGAAAAGAACCCCGGCGAGGGGAGUGAAAAAGAACCUGAAACCGUGUACGUACAAGCAGUGGGAGCACCUUCGGGUGUGACUGCGUACCUUUUGUAUAAUGGGUCAGCGACUUAUAUUCUGUAGCAAGGUUAACCGUAUAGGGGAGCCGCAGGGAAACCGAGUCUUAACUGGGCGUUAAGUUGCAGGGUAUAGACCCGAAACCCGGUGAUCUAGCCAUGGGCAGGUUGAAGGUUGGGUAACACUAACUGGAGGACCGAACCGACUAAUGUUGAAAAAUUAGCGGAUGACUUGUGGCUGGGGGUGAAAGGCCAAUCAAACCGGGAGAUAGCUGGUUCUCCCCGAAAGCUAUUUAGGUAGCGCCUCGUGAACUCAUCUUCGGGGGUAGAGCACUGUUUCGGCUAGGGGGUCAUCCCGACUUACCAACCCGAUGCAAACUACGAAUACCGAAGAAUGUUAUCACGGGAGACACACGGCGGGUGCUAACGUCCGUCGUGAAGAGGGAAACAACCCAGACCGCCAGCUAAGGUCCCAAAGUCAUGGUUAAGUGGGAAACGAUGUGGGAAGGCACAGACAGCCAGGAUGUUGGCUUAGAAGCAGCCAUCAUUUAAAGAAAGCGUAAUAGCUCACUGGUCGAGUCGGCCUGCGCGGAAGAUGUAACGGGGCUAAACCAUGCACCGAAGCUGCGGCAGCGACACUAUGUGUUGUUGGGUAGGGGAGCGUUCUGUAAGCCUGCGAAGGUGACCUGUGAGGGUUGCUGGAGGUAUCAGAAGUGCGAAUGCUGACAUAAGUAACGAUAAAGCGGGUGAAAAGCCCGCUCGCCGGAAGACCAAGGGUUCCUGUCCAACGUUAAUCGGGGCAGGGUGAGUCGACCCCUAAGGCGAGGCCGAAAGGCGUAGUCGAUGGGAAACAGGUUAAUAUUCCUGUACUUGGUGUUACUGCGAAGGGGGGACGGAGAAGGCUAUGUUAGCCGGGCGACGGUUGUCCCGGUUUAAGCAUGUAGGCUGAUUGUCCAGGCAAAUCCGGAUAAUCAAGGCUGAGGUGUGAUGACGAGGCACUACGGUGCUGAAGUAACAAAUGCCCUGCUUCCAGGAAAAGCCUCUAAGCAUCAGGUAACAUCAAAUCGUACCCCAAACCGACACAGGUGGUCAGGUAGAGAAUACCAAGGCGCUUGAGAGAACUCGGGUGAAGGAACUAGGCAAAAUGGUGCCGUAACUUCGGGAGAAGGCACGCUGGUGUGUAGGUGAAGUCCCUGCGGAUGGAGCUGAGACCAGUCGAAGAUACCAGCUGGCUGCAACUGUUUAUUAAAAACACAGCACUGUGCAAACACGAAAGUGGACGUAUACGGUGUGACGCCUGCCCGGUGCCGGAAGGUUAAUUGAUGGGGUUAUCCGUAAGGAGAAGCUCUUGAUCGAAGCCCCGGUAAACGGCGGCCGUAACUAUAACGGUCCUAAGGUAGCGAAAUUCCUUGUCGGGUAAGUUCCGACCUGCACGAAUGGCGUAAUGAUGGCCAGGCUGUCUCCACCCGAGACUCAGUGAAAUUGAACUCGCUGUGAAGAUGCAGUGUACCCGCGGCAAGACGGAAAGACCCCGUGAACCUUUACUAUAGCUUGACACUGAACAUUGAGCCUUGAUGUGUAGGAUAGGUGGGAGGCUUUGAAGCGUGGACGCCAGUCUGCGUGGAGCCAACCUUGAAAUACCACCCUUUAAUGUUUGAUGUUCUAACGUUGGCCCCUUACCGGGGUUGCGGACAGUGUCUGGUGGGUAGUUUGACUGGGGCGGUCUCCUCCCAAAGCGUAACGGAGGAGCACGAAGGUUAGCUAAUCCUGGUCGGACAUCAGGAGGUUAGUGCAAUGGCAUAAGCUAGCUUGACUGCGAGCGUGACGGCGCGAGCAGGUGCGAAAGCAGGUCAUAGUGAUCCGGUGGUUCUGAAUGGAAGGGCCAUCGCUCAACGGAUAAAAGGUACUCCGGGGAUAACAGGCUGAUACCGCCCAAGAGUUCAUAUCGACGGCGGUGUUUGGCACCUCGAUGUCGGCUCAUCACAUCCUGGGGCUGAAGUAGGUCCCAAGGGUAUGGCUGUUCGCCAUUUAAAGUGGUACGCGAGCUGGGUUUAGAACGUCGUGAGACAGUUCGGUCCCUAUCUGCCGUGGGCGCUGGAGAAUUGAGGGGGGCUGCUCCUAGUACGAGAGGACCGGAGUGGACGCAUCACUGGUGUUCGGGUUGUCAUGCCAAUGGCACUGCCCGGUAGCUAAAUGCGGAAGAGAUAAGUGCUGAAAGCAUCUAAGCACGAAACUUGCCCCGAGAUGAGUUCUCCCUGAGACUUUAAGUCUCCUGAAGGAACGUU
rnacentral:rRNA from 1 species